rnacentral:lncRNA from 1 species
CAAGAGGAGAAUUCAGCAGGGUAGCUGGUGACAUCUGAGAGUGGGGAACCAAAACUGGCACCAAAAGAGAUAUCUGCAGCCAGAAAUGAGCAGCAGUGAGAUGAAUUCAGUGAAUGACAUGGACUAUGGAGAAAAUAAAAAGGAAUGGGACCCAAAACGCCAUUAUUUAGACAUAGUAUCAAGCUUAACUUCACUGAAACUCAAAAAUCUUAGAUCACGGAGUCAGAGAGAGAGAAAGAAAAAAAGUAAUUCAAACCAGAUUUUUGUCAAGAGCCUGCUGCAGACAGGCAGGACUGUGCACACCCUACCAAGGUUCUGAGUCACGCGGGAGACUCCGAAUCACCCCGCUGCAGAGAGGUAGCCACCUGGUUCCACAAUACAAAGAUGCAGAGGACACCAGACCACCAGACCAAGGUACUGAGUCCAGCUGCUCCUGGCCCAGAGGUAGGGGCUUCUGAGCCGCCAUCCCACUGCUCCUGGUCCAGAGGAAGGGGCUUCCUGGCCACCAACUCUCCCACUGCUCCCAGCCCACAGGAA